GACGAACGCUGGCGGCGUGCUUAACACAUGCAAGUCGAACGGAAAGGCCCUGCUUUUGUGGGGUGCUCGAGUGGCGAACGGGUGAGUAACACGUGAGUAACCUGCCCUUGACUUUGGGAUAACUUCAGGAAACUGGGGCUAAUACCGGAUAGGAGCUCCUGCUGCAUGGUGGGGGUUGGAAAGUUUCGGCGGUUGGGGAUGGACUCGCGGCUUACCAGCUUGUUGGUGGGGUAGUGGCUUACCAAGGCUUUGACGGGUAGCCGGCCUGAGAGGGUGACCGGCCACAUUGGGACUGAGAUACGGCCCAGACUCCUACGGGAGGCAACAGUGGGGAAUAUUGCACAAUGGGCGGAAGCCUGAUGCAGCAACGCCGCGUGCGGGAUGACGGCCUUCGGGUUGUAAACCGCUUUCGCCUGUGACGAAGCGUGAGUGACGGUAAUGGGUAAAGAAGCACCGGCUAACUACGU
rnacentral:rRNA from 1 species